rnacentral:misc_RNA from 1 species
GCUUGCUUUCACCCCAACUUUAUCAGCAUCCUUUUCCUUCUCUUCCAUUUGCUUCUCCUCCCUUUCCCUCUCAGUUCUGGCAAGCAAUUCAAGAAAUGGAGGACCCAUUUCAUCCAAAGCCUCCUUUAAAUAAUCCAUAACCAGUCUUAACGCUUCAUUUCGCGUAGCCCUCUCCAACAACCUCCCACACGCAUUCGAAUCCCACAAAGCCGCCUCCAUCUCCUCCUUAAACUCCCUCAACUCAUCAGUAACCAGCUCGCUUUUCUUCAAAAACUCCAACUUGUCAACUCUUUCACUCCAAAUCGUCUUCACUGCCUCGAAAAACAUCUCAGGGUCACGCUUGCGUUUGCUUCCCACAACACCCAAGUGCUUCACCGUGCAGUCCACAGCAACCGCGCAGUACGCGAGCUUCAUGGAGUCUGGGAUCUUGAAUCCCUUCUUCUGAUCCAAUUGUUCAAUGAUUUCGAGGGAUUCAAGAAUGAUUUCAGAGGAAACGGAGCCGUCGGCAAUUUCGUCCUGGAUUGCGCGGAGAGCGAGUGUCUUCUUCAAGCGUGGAGUUGCCAAAAUGGGGAUAUGGGUAUUUGUGAGAAUCCUGUUGAGAACAAGUUUAGAGACUGAGUCUUGCCGAGCUAGGAACUCGAUGAUCCAUAGAACGAUGUCUGGGUCCAUUUCUUCAGAGUCCAUUGUCCGGGUAGAGCUGCCUCUGAAAGAACAGUUUUUUGCGAUUUAUAGGUUUUUCCUUGUUUGGGGGAAAACGAAAGGGAAUGAAGGAAAGCGAAUUCCUUCUGCUAAACAUUUGAAAAUCAUUGGCUGAUUUUAUGGAAAGUUUUCGCCCAAUAUGCAUACGCCAAAUCCAUCAGAAUUAGGGUUAAUUCUACGUCAAUC